UGUUCUGAUAGACAUCAAUGAAGGAGUCCAGAGGAAGCUCUCCAUCAAGAAACUUCUCUGCCAUGUUCUGAAAGAGGCAGCAAAAAGCCAGCGGCUGCGUCCUGACACACUCGUCCUGACACACUCGUCCCACUCCGGGUCAGCAGGACAGAAACUUGCUCGCGCCCGUUAGGGCUCCCUCCUCGCACCCCCUCCGCCUGAUCAUUAAUCAGACCACACAACCUACCAACCCCCUACAAACAACAACUUUGACCCUGACUCAUUUCGUUACCGCUUAGUGAGGCGUGAGCCUCAGAUGCUCAGCUGGCCGUGCCAACAUGCUCUGCCCCACCAGCUGACUCAGACCAGGGGGAACUCAGCCUUUGGCCCCCACAGGACAGGUGCCGAUUCAUGGUGCGGCAUGUGCUCCUUACCUCAGGGCCAGAUGGCCCACUCCUGUGCAGCCUCCUAUCUGGCCAUGGACAAUGGGUCCAGAAGGACUGCCCAGGCCACUGUACUGGGCCAGCCAGCUUUAUUUACCUCUGUGUCUUCCUCGAUCUUGGCCCCUUCUGCCUGCAGAAGUGCUAACAGGGUCUCCAAGGAAGCACUGCUGGAUUGCUUAUCUGCAAGAAGCAGGAGGCACAAUGGGGUGAGGGGGCACCGGGUCACCCUGACAAAUCACAAUGACCCCCAGCCCCUCAGAACAACACGCUCCCCCAGUCUCCUCCCCACUUCCUUUUCACAGAAAGAGUGUACCUUAGCUGGAAAGGUGACAGGAGAGUCAUACCUACUGAGCUGACUUUCCGGGAAGACGAAAGGGAGAGGGCCUUAACACCCAGGACAGGAUGGAGUCCACAAGGUUGGGGGUUGUAGUGGCCACUGUCACCCUCUGCCUUACAAUACAUGUGACCUAACACUGGUAUCACCCCAUUACAUAUCUCCUUUGGAUUUCUGAGUGAUAAUUUACAUAAAUAAAAUAUACACACCUUAAGUCUGUGACCUGAAUUUUUAUACAUAUAAAAAACUUUUAAUAUAUAUAAACCCAAUCACCAUCACCCAGCUCACAACACAGAACAUUUUCAAAGGCUCCCCGGGCCUCUCCCAGAGGUGCUGCCCCCCCCCGCCCCGCCCCACCAGCCGAGGGUUCUGCCUGAUUCUGAACUUGACACAAGUGCAAUCACACAUCGUGUGCUCUGCCUGGCCUCUUUCACUCAGCACAUCUCUGAGACCAUCUGUGUUGCUGCACAGACCGGCAGCUCAUUUCUUUCAGUGCUGUGUGGCAGCAAAAGCUGUGUAAACAUUACAACUCACCCCUCAUUCUGUACAUGGACAUCUAGAUCGCUUCCUAACUGAGCUAUUACAAAUAAAGCUAUGAUGAACA